CAAGAUUUGCCCAAUCAGAUUUACUUUUUAAUUGGUCUUCAAUUCUUUGAAGAUCUUAUGGUACUCAAGAAUAAAUGGGAAUAUGUCAAAGAUUAAUGGACAUGUGAUCUUGGUCAAUUGGGUACCUAAAAUUAACUUAAAUCUAAAAAUUAACUAAGAUAAUUUUUCUAAAAGGAUGGGCAAUUGUGGCUCUAAUGGCACAAAAGAUAAUCUUCUAAUUAAUUUAGAAACUACCUAGGGUGCUCCAGCAGAUUAUGGUUAUUUUUUUUUCUUCAUUAGGUAAUCUGGGUAAGGUAUUUAUAGCAAAAAAAUAUUAUUUUAAAGCCUAUCAAAAAUCUAUUUAAAAAAAUAAAAUAAAUGAGGAAUGAUUAUCCCACUAACCAACCGGCUAUUAGGGAUAAUUAUCCAAUUGGUUAUGAGAGAUUAUUAUCCUUCAAAUAUAUUUAUUAAUCCUUUUUUUUAUUUUUACAAUUUUUCCUACAAAAAUUGUUCAAAGGCUUUAAAAUAUAAUUAGGCCAAAAAGUACAUUAAAAGCCCAUUUUUACAUUAAUAAAUUUAAUGAGCUUGGAUAUUUAAAUUAAGCAUAAUUAAAUAAUUUGGGUUUUUAGACUCAAUAAAAAAAACCUUUUUAUGCUCCCAAUUAGCAAACCCAAAUAAAAAAAAUAUGUAUUCCUGUUAUUCUAAAGUCUCCUGAGUGCUUUAAAAUUCCUUAUCAUCCGAUGCUAUUUCAUCGUAGGGCACCUCACUGCUUUUACAAAUCAUGCAUUCCAGAAGUUAAAAAAAUAAAUGUCUACAGACAUCAAACUGUACCUUGAGUUCCUUUCGUGGGCCUUCAUGGGGCAUGGUUAGAUGCUUUGAAAGUUGAUCAAUCUUGACUGUGAUUUUCUAGAACCUUGAAGAUGUGCUGAAACUAUACUCAAGUCAAAUGAAAAUCUUCUCCAGUGUAAGUUUGGUAUGUUAAUUCAAAAGGUUAACUAAAUAGAAAGUUAUGCUAAUAGAAGAAGAAUCAGUAAUUACUUUCAUUUGGUGCAUGAUAGCCUGAAGACUUGGGGAGCAAUAACCAUUUGUGUUAUUCUUGAACAUAUUUGAUAGCAUAUUGCUGAAUAUUAAACAAAUUGCAGCUUCAAGCACAAUAUUUAUUUCUAUCAGAAUUUUCUUGGGAAAAAGUAGUGCUAUAUUUAUGUAGCAUGAGAAGUGAUGACAAAUUAUCAUCUAUUGCCUUUUGAAUUGAUCCAAAAGGUUCAAUCUAAUUUCAGUGUGUUCAGAGAUUGAGGUAUGAGAUGAUAAUUAGGUAAGGACAAUAUUAAUUUUGCUAGACAUGGAAUCACACCAUGGAAAUAACUGGGGGCCCAGGAGCAGUGUGACGCAAAUGUCUUGAUCAGUCCUUUGAUUUCUCAUUGACUAUGGAUUUAGUCUUGGUUGAACUUUUCUUUUUAAUCCCAGAUAGAAGAAACCAUCAAAUUAAGCAGUUAACAUGAAGCUGAAGAACUUUUAAUUGAAUGGGGUUCAUUUUAAAAUGGGUGCGUAAUGAGCUUAACAACCGUAAGAUUAAAUAUUUGUAUCGAGAUGUUUUGCUGAAUUAAAAUUUGAUGUGUUGCUGAAUUAAAAUUUGAGUUUCGGCUUACAAUAACUGCAUUCUUUUAAAAUUGGAGUUGCAUUAAAUGAAGUAAAAGACAACUAUGAAGUCAUUAAAUCUUUUGUACAAUGAAUUACAGCCAACUCCAUCAAAAGUUAAAUAAAACUACAGAAAAAAAAAGGCUUGUAAUAGACCACCCCUCUGCUAUCAACCUCCUUUAUUCCUCUAUAAUCUGUACAUGUUAUGGAAGAUGAUUGUUAAUUUAAUUUCCGAGGUCGCAAGCUAAAAGCCUUUUUUCCAUUGCUGUCGAGUGCUGUUCAUGAAAGUAAGUCUAAAUCAUCACUGCAAGGCAAUGCCACCCAUUUUCUUGUUGGAGUGCUUGCUAGCACGGGGCUUUUUCUUCAUUUUCUUUGAAUCAUUUGUUCCUUGUUAUUUCAUGGAGUUAUUUAGUUCUUGCUUUCAACUGUUUAAUUUCCAGAAUACUGUGAGAAAUAUGCAAA
rnacentral:misc_RNA from 1 species